rnacentral:rRNA from 1 species
GACGUAGGGGGCCAGCGUUGUUCGGAAUUACUGGGUGUAAAGGGGUUCGUAGGCGGUGUGGCAAGUCGGGAGUGAAAUUUCUGGGCUCAACUCAGAGACUGCUUCCGAAACUGCUGUGCUUGAGUGUGGGAGAGGCGCGUGGAAUUGCAGGUGUAGCGGUGAAAUGCGUAGAUAUCUGCAGGAACACCCGUGGCGAAAGCGGCGCGCUGGACCACUACUGACGCUGAGGAACGAAAGCUAGGGGAGCAAACAGG